rnacentral:lncRNA from 1 species
UGGGAUCCCAGGACACGGAGGAAGGCCACUGGGAGACUCCUCAGGCCUCAGGCUCUGAAGGAAUUCCACUCACAAAGCUCAACUUUCACGGAUCCCUUUGUGUUCCCUGCUUCCUGCCUGCCAGACUAGUUUCACCCAACCUCUGCCAGGUCUCAGCAGUGGACUGAAUUCACGGCAGUAGCCUUGGUGACCCCUAGUGGCCUUCCCUUCUCUGGAGUAGACCUGAUCUAGCCUCAACACCAAACUGAGACCUCAGCCUCAACACCUGGCUCAGCCUCAACACCUAACUGAGACCUCAGGCUCCCCACUGUCCUACAGAUGGUCCCCCAGUGCCAUCGCCGGCCUUCAAAGGUUUCCACCAUCUAGAGGAGAAGCCGCUUGGGGCACCAGUGUCUGGGCUGCAUGGUGCCCUCAAGAGCUGACUGCAGUCUGGAAUCUUGCCCUCUGCAGCCAGGAGAGACAGCCCUUGUCCACGCCUAUUUAAUCCAUUCAUUUACCCACCCAAUGACUGUGGAGCCCAGCCUAUGGUACAGUUACUAUUUGGUGCUGGAGAUAGACAGUUUAGCAAACCACAGCCCAGCCUACCUUCCUGGAGAUUAAAAUCCAAUGGGAAAUCAGACAUUGAUCAAAAAUGUACACAAACGUGGAAAACAACAUCUGGAGUUGAUGGAGACAGAGUGGUCCCCAACACCUGCACGCAUUUGUCCUUGCUGGGGAGGGCAGGGCACACUUGAGUUGAGGCCUGAAGGCUGCAGAGGACAGGAGGUGAGCCUCCAAAAGGCAUAGCAGGGUUUGCUUUUGGGGUGGGGCAUGCAUCGGAGGGGGCAGGAUGGAGGUGGGGUGAGCAGCUAGGGAGUCAUGGCAGGUGUAGGGCGGGAAGUGAUGCUGCGGGGCAGUGUGGCGCAGGUGGGGGAGAGCAGACACAUUUGCCAUCUCUGCAGAGCCACUUUCCCUCCUGAGAUGAGCCAGGUGGCAGCAGGCUCUGGUCCUGACCUCCAGCAUGAAUGCGGCCUGAGCUCUGCCAUGGCCCCCCUUCGCCGGUUUUCCCUGGCUUUUGCUCUGCUUAUUUUUCCAGGGUCACCACCUGUGUCUGAGCUCUGCCAUGGCUCCCCCUCACUGGCUGUCCCUGGCCUUUGCUCUGCUGAUUUUUCCAAGGUCACCGCCUGUGGACGGGGGUACCCUGAGCUGACGAUGCUGCCCAGGCAGUGGUCCUGGGCCAUGGGGCCCUGCCAUGGCUUCCCCCAAUGAGUCAGCCCUCCUUCGGCCGACUCCUAUGCACCCCUUUGCCGUAAAGGCCUUUUGCUUUUCUGCCCGGCUCCAGACAGGCACUGUGCACUCAGCCCUGCCGUUCCCACUCAACCCUAACCACUUGGCCUGAGAAGGAGCCUCCGGCUCCUGUGUUGAGUGGGUGGGGAGGUAGCAGCCCAGCCAGGGCCUCGGUAGGCAGAGCUUGACAUCCGGACAGGACCCUUGCUCUCU